GGAUCAUCACAAGCCAAAAAAACACACAAAACAGCAGUGGCAGCCAUUAGCAUUACCAGAAACGCUAUGCUCAAUCUCGCAAGAGCCUUCUUCCCCCAGCCCCCUUCUCUCGUCCCCAAUUCCUCGUCUAAAGUCUCACGGGUCUGCUUCACAACCUCUGCCUCCAAAUAUAACGAGGGACGGCAUGCAGCGGAAGAUGAUAGAGACCGAGCGGCAGAUUACGCUAAGAGAGCGAAAGAAACCGCAAGUG